rnacentral:rRNA from 1 species
AUGAACGCUAGCGAUAGGCUUAACACAUGCAAGUCGAGGGGCAGCACAAGGUAGCUUGCUAUCUGGGUGGCGACCGGCGCACGGGUGCGUAACGCGUAUGCAACUUGCCCUAUACAGGAGGAUAACCCGUCGAAAGACGGACUAAUACUGCGUAUGCUCACAACUUGGCAUCAAGUGGUGAGGAAAGAAAUUCGGUAUAGGAUAGGCAUGCGUCCCAUUAGCUUGUUGGUGAGGUAACGGCUCACCAAGGCAGCGAUGGGUAGGGGAACUGAGAGGUUUAUCCCCCACACUGGUACUGAGACACGGACCAGACUCCUACGGGAGGCAGCAGUGAGGAAUAUUGGUCAAUGGGCGCGAGCCUGAACCAGCCAAGUCGCGUGAAGGAUGACUGUCUUAUGGAUUGUAAACUUCUUUUAUACGGGAAUAACAAGAGUCACGUGUGACUCCCUGCAUGUACCGUAUGAAUAAGCAUCGGCUAACUCCGUG